UGAUCCUGGCUCAAUUGAACGCUGGCGGCAUGCCUUACACAUGCAAGUCGAACGGCAGCACGGGAGCAAUCCUGGUGGCGAGUGGCGAACGGGUGAGUAAAGUAUCGGAACGUGCCCAGUCGUGGGGGAUAACGUAGCGAAAGUUACGCUAAUACCGCAUACGAUCUAUGGAUGAAAGCGGGGGAUCGCAAGACCUCGCGCGAUUGGAGCGGCCGAUAUCAGAUUAGGUAGUUGGUGGGGUAAAGGCUCACCAAGCCGACGAUCUGUAGCUGGUCUGAGAGGACGACCAGCCACACUGGGACUGAGACACGGCCCAGACUCCUACGGGAGGCAGCAGUGGGGAAUUUUGGACAAUGGGCGCAAGCCUGAUCCAGCCAUGCCGCGUGCAGGAUGAAGGCCUUCGGGUUGUAAACUGCUUUUGUACGGAACGAAAAGGUUUGGCCUAAUAAGCUGAGCUCAUGACGGUACCGUAAGAAUAAGCACCGGCUAACUACGUGCCAGCAGCCGCGGUAAU
rnacentral:rRNA from 1 species